rnacentral:rRNA from 1 species
CCCUUAGAUGUUCUGGGCCGCACGCGCGCUACACUGACUGGUGCAACAAGUGUCGCUCCUUGGCCGAUAGGCCUGGGCAAUCUUUGAACGCCAGUCGUGAUGGGGAUAGAUUCUUGCAAUUUUUGAUCUUCAACGAGGAAUUCCUAGUAAACGCGAGUCAUCAACUCGCAUUGAUUACGUCCCUGCCCUUUGUACACACCGCCCGUCGCACCUACCGAUUGAAUGGUCCGGUGAAUCUUUAGGACUGUGGCUGAGGCCUUGCCUUGUGCGGGUCUGGCCGUGGGAAUUUAGUUAAACCUUACCAUUUAGAGGAAGGUGAAGUCGUAACA